ensembl:lncRNA
CAUGUUUUUGCGUAUUUAGCUCGGGGUGUUUUUUGCAUAUUAGGCCGAGGCCUUACAGUAUGACACGAGUGCAUUUUAUAGAAAAAGAAUGACAGAAAAAGGGGGCUGGAAAAGAAGAAGACAAUCUGGGUAAAACAACGCACCUAUUACAAGAAUUGCUUCCUAUGACGUGAAAUAUGAUGAGACAAAAACAAGGAGGGUCUCUGGCAGCAUCUGUUCAUUCAGGAAUAAGAAGCAACUCGGAAAAUAUAUCUGCAUGGAGGCUGACGAGGUGCAGGAAUGUGAAGAAGCAGUCAUGAUUCAUUCCAGAGCGUGCAUUGAUUACACGCCAAAUGAACAUACGUUGCAUGCUAAUUUCCUUCCCGGGUCCUCGAGAGCAAACACCACUGUGAGAGUACGCAGUGUAAACACCUCCAUAGCAAUAACACGUCGGUGCUGAGCCACCUGAGGUCCAUCACACUGCAGAAAAAGUAGAACUGCAUGUGACAAGCCGUGACAUUCAACUCCACUGGGACUUCCCUCUUGAGCCUUCCUCCGCACUCGAAUGCCAACAAAAUCCCCUCCACAACAUUCAAUUUGAAAUUUA